CUAUUCCUACGGGGGGCAGCUGUGAGGAAUAUUGGUCAAUGGGCGGGAGCCUGAACCAGCCAAGUCGCGUGAAGGAAGAAGGUACUUAGUAUUGUAAACUUCUUUUGUCGGGGAACAAAGGCGGAGACGCGUCUCCGGAUGAGUGUACCCGAAGAAAAAGCAUCGGCUAACUCCGUGCCAGCAGCCGCGGUAAUGCGGAGGAUGCGAGCGUUAUCCGGAUUUAUCGGGUUUAAAGGGUGCGCAGGCGGGAGAUCAAGUCAGCGGGAAAAUGUCGGGGCUCAACCCCGGCCGGCCG
rnacentral:rRNA from 1 species